GCCCGGAGAGCUCAGUUGGUUAGAGUGCGGUGCUGACAACGCCAAGGUUGCAGGUUCAAUCCCCACAUGGGACA
rnacentral:tRNA from 1 species